rnacentral:miRNA from 1 species
UGUGUGUAUAUAUAUGUAUGUAUGUGUAUGUGUGUGUGUGUGUGUGUGUAUAUAUAUACAUACAUAUAUAUAUACAUAUAUAUACACAUAUAUA